AGUGUAGGCGGCUACGUAAGUCGGAUGUGAAAGCCCCGGGCUCAACCUGGGAAUUGCAUUCGAUACUGCGUGGCUAGAGUUUGGUAGAGGUAAGUGGAAUUCCGGGUGUAGCGGUGAAAUGCGUAGAUAUCCGGAGGAACAUCAGUGGCGAAGGCGGCUUACUGGACCAAAACUGACGCUGAGGCUCGAAAGCGUGGGGAGCAAACA
rnacentral:rRNA from 1 species